CUGCUCCUGGCUGCGGUGCUCUGCUGAAUUAGCAACAUGUUUGAAUGAGAUAAAAGGGGCAGCUUACCCCAUCGCCCUCGUUCCACUAAUCCCACUACAGCUGUGAAAUGAAUAGCAGCAGAUCCGCUUUACUCCCUUCACUGACUAUUUUCUACACUUGAGACCGAUGCAGCUCCGUGCCGCUUUACCAAACCUGGCCCCGCAGGCGUAUUCCUGCUCUGGCCAGAUGCUCACUCUUCUGUGAAGGCUACCUAUCUCAGGCCCUCUUGGGACAGAGGACUCUUGGCAGAGCAUGAAGAACCAGAGAGUGGGACUGGUUGCCCCAGGCAGAGUCCAUCUACCUCACCAUGGCCUUACAAGGGUCCUUGUCACCCCAGUGUCUGGUCACCGAUGUGCUGGAGGAGGGAAAAGGCAGCCCUGUUAUAGCAGGUCACCUCAGCAGCGUGUAAGCGCAGGACCGUGGCCUAUGUCCUUCAUGGGAGCUGCUCUCCAGGAAUCCCAGAAGAGCCUUGAAUCAGGAAACUGACUCCGGGCUAAUACUGGUGGAGAAAAUACAUUUCUGAAUUCAAAGAGAAGGGCCUUAUUCUCCCUGUUUCUUGAUUCUGAGGAAAAGAAAAUCCAAGAAGAACCCACUCUCUGUCUUUGAUACUGUAAUGUAUAUGCUCCUUUUCCAAGGGGCCAGCUGUGGUUCUUUCACCCCUCGUCCACAUCUACAGGGAUUCUCAAAACUCUUCACCUCAAUAAAAGUACUUUUGUUGUCUUGGUGCCAGUCAAGACUUGCAGCAGGUCAGUGUUUUUGGUGGUGAAGCGCACAGCCUUUGGGGAUGCUGGCAGAUCCCACAUUCUGCACGAAGUCUUGAUGGCAACAUCAGCCUUUCUGCUGGGCUUAUCCUUGGCUGGUGAACUGGGGAAGAGUAACCACAGAUGACUGACAUGACCUGGAGGCUGCCAUAGACCCUUUCUGGGGAAAACAUCAAGGCUGACUGAGAAGUGCAAGGUUGUGCUUGCAAGCCAGGUUUUUAGGUCAGGAACUACCUUUAAAAACCCACAGAGCCCAUCAUCUGCAUUGGAAUUAAACCUGCAAUGAAGAGUUCAUUCCUACGUCUGCCUGAAUUGUCUGUGAUCACUCUUGAAGCAACAGGCAGUAUCAAAAAAAAAAAGGCAGAAUAGUAGUUUUGCUGCUUAGCUGAGUUGGGGAGAAAAGGGGAGGUUUAGCAGCAUUACUGAAGGACCCUGAACCACCCCCAAUAUUUUGUGCUCAUGUUGACUUGAAUUCCUUAGUUCACGCUGCCCAUCAAUCCUAUUUACCCUUACAACAAAAGCCUUUUGCAUGUCACCUUCCAUCUUCUUGCAUGGGAUGCUCUCAAGACAGAUGGGAUGGACCAAAACCUGGGCCCCAUCCCCUUUCUGGUCCAUGCACUCCUGUGCAUGCUGUGAUGAUCAGCAGUGCUGGGCACUCCUGCUAGAAGAUGAGCAGGGUGGAGGGGCAGUAAAGAUCAGCCUGGCUUGCUCCAGCGCAGCUCUGCAGAUGCACCCUUGUUGGGUUAGGUCAGCCCUUUGACUAUGUAUGUGACUCCCACUGGGACACUGGCAGGUCAAUGCCAUCUAUUCAGAAAGAGUGACAGAUAUUUUGCGGGGGAAAAUGGCUGUUGCCUUCCCAAAAGAGGUUUGUAUAUGGGCAAGUCUUAUUCUUCUGUGCUAUAGGAGCAGUAAAGUCUCUGGGCUUCUCCUUUAUCUUUGGCAAAGAGCAGGGUCAUGACCAAGAGAAAGAAGCAGCCAAACCAAACCCACUGUCCUGCAUCUUAUUUGAGACCCUCGUGUAGCUUGGCUGCCUCUCCCUUCCCACUCUGCCAAUAUCUUUCCAUUUAUGCAGUGGCUCUUAAUGAGAAUGAAGCAACUAAUUUGGCCAUCCUCGAUGUCUUUAUAACCCAAGCCCACAGCUACGACAAGCCAAUAGCACUGAGCUAGUUCUACUGAUUAUUUUAAUCUCAUCAUAUGUCUUUUCUGGUCAAUAAACUCCCUCUCAAAUCAAAUUGUUACUGAACAUAACCUGACGCUAAUGUCCAUUGGACUCUGGGCUAUAGCGAAUAAUGUAGUUUGUCAUAAUUAAGUGUACUGCCUAAUUAAUUGAGUGGUCAGGAUGCUAAUUAGCCAGGUUUAUUGAGACUGGAGGAGUAUGAAGGGCAAUACUGCAGCUCAUCAAAAGCACUGGGACUAGAAAUAAAGUACGUCUCCCUUCCCUCUCCCCUGACAGCCAGAAAAAAUCCGUGGCUAUGUAGAUUUAUGGACUCUGAGCAACACCCAGAGAUGGGGAUGAACAGGGUCGUGCUGGUCUUGCUGAGUUCUUUUCGCCGUGGCUAAGGUUCCUUAGCCUUUGCUCCCAUUUUUCACCCAUUCCUCUAGCUCGUCCAUCACUGCAGCCUAACUCGGCUGUCUCCUCAGUCCUCAUCUGACGCUGCCUGCCGCAUUCCCUGCUCUGUCUAGGGACAGCAGGGCUGCCAUAUUUCCCUUCUGGACUGCCAAUUGAUAUAUGGGACAUGUGAUGGGUCAUACUUAUGCAAUAAGUUUCCUGAGAGUGGCAGUUUAUCGGCUUUUCCUGCCCAACUUCUUUUUCAGUCCUCUGGUGACGGGGUGUCUAAUUCCCAAUGCUCAAAUCCUCAUUUUUAGAAAGCAUUCGCCUAACCCGAAGCCUCCUGCCAUGGUUUAAGCCUAAGGACUUAUUGGUCUAUCCUCAUGACCCACGAAGAAAAGAUUUUUACCUUUCUGUUUUUAGGAGUCUUUCAUAAGGCAUCAAGAAAAGAAUAGAGAUUGUGCAGCUGAAGGAGGGUCUUCAGCUGAGAUCUGGACUCUAGUCCUGGCUCUCUGGAUGGUGUUAGGGAAGCUGGAUUUAGGGAAGUUGGGUGUUGUAUCUCAGUUCCUCAACCAGCUAAUGUCCAAGAGAUCCUUCAGGACCUCUCAAGUUAGUUUAUAUGUGCAUUAUAGUGGCAGGAUUGGGAAAAGAGGCAUGGCACCUAGGAAAUUAAGGAAUAUUUAAUCUGGAUUUGCAAUUCCAUUUUUGCAACAUGAGGAUCUGAACAUGCCCAGGGGAAUUCAAGUGUUGGACACAACAAAGCAGACCCAAACCAAGCCCAGUAUCUGGGUAGGGAGAGAUGAGUCUUUAUUUCAACUUUGCUUCUGUUUGGAUGUCUUGGAGACCAGGGAGCUACCAGUGGACCUGGUGCCUGUGGAGAGCAAAUGUGGGCUGUUUGAACAGGAGGUGGUAAUUUAGAAAUAAUCUUAGUGCCCUAUGUCAUUGAGGAUGCAGUGUGCCUCAGGAUUAGAGCCUCCCACAUGAUGGAGAUGGAGUCUGGCAUUCCCUUGGGAGGACUGCUCAGAUAUUUCCCCAAAUUUCUCAGCUCAAGAUCAGGAGGGAUGUACAGUAAAAAGGCCCUCAUCCCCUAUCCCUCCUCCCAUCCCUUGUGUGCUUACAGACACCGAACAUGCACAAUCUAAAAAAUGUUUUAUAUCACAUUUCUACGCAAGCUGUUGACACUCUCCCUAUUUUGACCAGAAUUAAUUGUGUCGCUAAAAAAAUUGCAUCCACCCCAAUGGCUAUAAACAGUGCCUUGAUGUUGUGGGCAGCAUCCACCAGCUCUGCCCUCCAGUAUUUAUUUUACUGCCUGAAUUUCAUAAAUGCUGUAGCAGUUUCCCCUCUCUCCUAAAUUCACUUCAGGCAGCCAAAGCUUUUGACCUUGCAACUGCCUAUUGCUUUCAAUGGUCUGUGGCCAGAUAGCUUGUUUUCCUUCCGAUUGCUUUCGGUUUCAAACAAAUAGUGCCACUGUGGGUAAAGCUCAGACCACAUUCCAAUAUCUCACCACAUAAUUGCGCUGAAUUUGACCACAAGCUAAUAAGUAAAACUGCUCUGCAGUCAGGUACUCAAAUUCUGCUCGUUUACAUCUGUGAAACAACCCAAUGAUCAGCUGCAUUUUGUAGCCUUGGCAAAAGGGUCCUCCUGUGCCAGGGCCUCUAAAACCCUAAAGGACAAGGUGGUUUCUGCAGCAGAGUCUGCCUCCCCCACGGGGAGAGCAAGCAGCGUCAAAAACCCUGCAAACAAACUUUCUGUGCAUGCCUCAUUUCUAGCUGUUUCUCGUCUGAGAAUCUCCAGGUAGAGAUGCCUGUGCAAGGCUGAGCCUUUCAACAUGCGAUUAUCCAUAAUUUGCAGAAUAUUCCUUGAAAAAAAAAGGAAUCGCAUUCUGAAUAGUCAAAAUUCUCACUUUUCAGUAAGAAAUUUGUCUUGAUGUCCCUGAAAACAGAGAGAUCAGAGCAACCCACAACUUUGGUGAUCUGUAACCCGCUCAUUGCAGGGAGCUGGGAUGAUUUCUUCGGGGAAGGCUUGUGCUGCACUUGCUCUAUUUCAUAUAAUCUUUCCCCAAAUAUCCACAACUAACACUUUUGAGGAGGAAACAUAAAAUCAGAUUUGUGUAUUCUGCCAAUAUAGUCAUCCAACCUUGCUAUUUAAUCAGAAUCAGAAAAAGCAUGUUCUUAAUAAUUUCAUUGCAACAGAAAAUUCUCUUCAGUAAUUAACAAAUGAAGAUUUGUAGAUCAAAAAUACUUAGGUAAAUCUUGAUCUUUAUCAGUACGAAUGCAAACCAAAAAUUGAGGAAGAAUUAAUUGUGUAAACUAGUAGUUAGAAAGUUUUUCUGUUAAUGUUCCUUCUUGAUAAUAGGUUAGGCAAAGUGAGGAUGUAAAUCCUGGUCUCAGACAUAUUUAUGAUAUUUGCUGUUUGGGUCUAAUGAUGACAAAACUUGGCCAAAUGAUUCUGAGACAGGUUUGUGGAAUAAAAGGCUCUGUCUGAAAACCAUCUGAAUGUGUGUCCUCUUCUAGUUUUCCCUUGUUAAAAAAAAACAAACAAACAAA